rnacentral:rRNA from 1 species
GACGAACGCUGGCGGCGUGCUUAACACAUGCAAGUCGAACGGAAAGGCCCUGCUUUUGUGGGGUGCUCGAGUGGCGAACGGGUGAGUAACACGUGAGUAACCUGCCCUUGACUUUGGGAUAACUUCAGGAAACUGGGGCUAAUACCGGAUAGGAGCUCCUGCUGCAUGGUGGGGGUUGGAAAGUUUCGGCGGUUGGGGAUGGACUCGCGGCUUAUCAGCUUGUUGGUGGGGUAGUGGCUUACCAAGGCUUUGACGGGUAGCCGGCCUGAGAGGGUGACCGGCCACAUUGGGACUGAGAUACGGCCCAGACUCCUACGGGAGGCAGCAGUGGGGAAUAUUGCACAAUGGGCGGAAGCCUGAUGCAGCAACGCCGCGUGCGGGAUGACGGCCUUCGGGUUGUAAACCGCUUUCGCCUGUGACGAAGCGUGAGUGACGGUAAUGGGUAAAGAAGCACCGGCUAACUACGUGCCAGCAGCCGCGGUGAUACGUAGGGAGCGAGCGUUGUCCGGAUUUAUUGGGCGUAAAGGGCUCGUAGGUGGUUGAUCGCGUCGGAAGUGUAAUCUUGGGGCUUAACCCUGAGCGUGCUUUCGAUACGGGUUGACUUGAGGAAGGUAGGGGAGAAUGGAAUUCCUGGUGGAGCGGUGGAAUGCGCAGAUAUCAGGAGGAACACCAGUGGCGAAGGCGGUUCUCUGGGCCUUUCCUGACGCUGAGGAGCGAAAGCGUGGGGAGCGAACAGGCUUAGAUACCCUGGUAGUCCACGCUGUAAACGGUGGGUACUAGGUGUGGGGUCCAUUCCACGGGUUCCGUGCCGUAGCUAACGCUUUAAGUACCCCGCCUGGGGAGUACGGCCGCAAGGCUAAAACUCAAAGGAAUUGACGGGGCCCCGCACAAGCGGCGGAGCAUGCGGAUUAAUUCGAUGCAACGCGUAGAACCUUACCUGGGUUUGACAUGGAUCGGGAGCGCUCAGAGAUGGGUGUGCCUCUUUUGGGGUCGGUUCACAGGUGGUGCAUGGCUGUCGUCAGCUCGUGUCGUGAGAUGUUGGGUUGAGUCCCGCAACGAGCGCAACCCUUGUUCACUGUUGCCAGCACGUUAUGGUGGGGACUCAGUGGAGACCGCCGGGGUCAACUCGGAGGAAGGUGGGGAUGACGUCAAGUCAUCAUGCCCCUUAUGUCCAGGGCUUCACGCAUGCUACAAUGGCUGGUACAGAGAGUGGCGAGCCUGUGAGGGUGAGCGAAUCUCGGAAAGCCGGUCUCAGUUCGGAUUGGGGUCUGCAACUCGACCUCAUGAAGUCGGAGUCGCUAGUAAUCGCAGAUCAGCAACGCUGCGGUGAAUACGUUCCCGGGGCU